CCAGUCUGAGACAACUCUAAAGAUCCAGUCCAACAGUACAUGAUUAAUCUCAUCAUCAGAUCCACAGACCCAUCGUACAGAGCUGUAAAACAACACAAGGAACAUUUUUACAAAAUGUCUUCUCUACAAAGAGCAGAUCAAAUAUUAUACAUUGAUAAAUACAAUGAAACAUUUUUGUUUAUACAUUUCCUUCUAGAACGACUAAUAACCUUCUAGAGCUCUAUUCAGUCUGUACAGCUGAAGCGUGACAGAUUCUGUGAUGGGAAUGUAAAGGUCAUUUCCCAUGGAGCACCGUUUACCGUCAAUGCAGUCUCUGCUCAAUCAGGAACACUUCCGCCUCGCGGAUUGAAUUAGAGCCCUUCAUCUGCAGAGAUUGACAACUAAACGAUUUAAAAGCUGUUCACACUGCUGAUAUCAUGAGUGAUAUUUUUUUUGUUUGUUGGACAGUCCAGGUCUCUCUUAAUAACCACUUAGUUGUGGUUGGUAAACAAUCUUUAGCUUUCAAAAUAGCAACGUCCGUUUCAUGUUUGCAUAGUAGCGCUAUUCUACGAUCGGUGCUCUCCGCUGGCAAAUCAUUGAAGUGGCCAGCUCUCAUUGGACCCUUCUUGACAAAAAGGUCCUCUUCCAGCCAAUGACAUCAGUCUGUUGUUACAUCGUAAUUGGAGGUCACCGGUGUGCCUCACUUUAGGGUAAGACGACUGGUGACGUUUCCGUCUACAUUGCAGUCGGCCAGGAGAGGCGUUUAAUGUAUCUGUUGAAAGGGGGGUGGCAUUAUGACGUCAUAAAGGUACUUCAAUGAUUUCAUUCUGAGUUGACUUUAAACCUGGGAGGAUUUUCAAGUGUUCACCUGGUCAAGUGGACUCAACGGUUGUUGUCCACUCAAGACAACUGAAAGCAUUAUAAUCUAUUAUAUAGAUGAACAUAGGAUCAUAUCUAAAACGUUUGAGGAUGUGGCGAGUUAUUGAACGUUGGUGCGUUGUGUCGGGCCUGACGUCCUUAACGUGGGUUAGAAACCAGAACAGAACUGGCUUCCGGUUUGGGAAAUACAUCUUGUGACUGGAGUGACUCAGUCAGGGUACGGGCUCAAUUCCAUUUCAAAUUGGUCAAUUUAGAAAGUAAACCAAAUUCCAAAUUGAAAAGCAUUGAAGAGAAUUGACUGGAAUUGAAAUGGAAUGAACCCCAACUCACCUACACAUCAAUGGUAUGAAUCAUUCUUACUGACCCCCAACUCUAGACUUACAGUGCCUUGCGAAAUUAUUCGGCCCCCUUGAACUUUGCGACCUUUUGCCACAUUUCAGGC
ensembl:lncRNA